rnacentral:rRNA from 1 species
AGAGNANANCUUUUUUCACGGUUNUUUAUUUAUUUUUNGUUUUUUNNNUAAAAUAUUUCUAANUCACACACGCCGCAUAGCCGGAUCAGGGUGGCCCCCGUUGUCCAAUAUUCCCCACUNCUCCCUCCCGUAGGCCCCCCGUGCCCCCGCCCCGCCCGCCGCGCGCGGCGGGCGGGGCGGGGGCACGGGGGGCCUACGGGAGGCAGCAGUGGGGAAUAUUGGACAAUGGGGGCAACCCUGAUCCAGCCAUGCCGCGUGUGUGAAGAAGGCUUUCGGGUUGUAAAGCACUUUCAGUGAGGAGGAAAACNUUAUGAUUAAUACUCGUGAG